CCCGGUCUUGUUAGCGAGAGGGUCCCACCCGUUCCCAUUCCGAACACGGUAGUUAAGCCUCUCAGCGCCGAUGGUACUGCACGGGUCACUGUGUGGGAGAGUAGGUCAACGCCGGGA
rnacentral:rRNA from 1 species